GCCGCUGUGGUGGAACUGGCAGACACGCACGACUCAAAAUCGUGUGCCUCACGGCAUGUCGGUUCGACUCCGACCAGCGGCACCA
rnacentral:tRNA from 3 species